rnacentral:rRNA from 1 species
UGCGGGGUAGCAAUAUUCCGCAGUCGGAGCGGCGCAAGGGUGCGUAACACGUGGGCAAUCUGCCGUGAAGUUUGGGAUAACUUGCUGAAAGGCGAGCUAAUACCGGAUGUGACCGUUGGGAGGCAUCUCCUGAUGGUCAAAGUUGGGGACCGUAAGGCCUGACGCUUCAUGAUGAGCCCGCGGCCUAUCAGCUAGUUGGUGAGGUAACGGCUCACCAAGGCUAAGACGGGUAGCUGGUCUGAGAGGACGACCAGCCACACUGGAACUGAGACACGGUCCAGACACCUACGGGUGGCAGCAGUCGAGAAUUUUUCACAAUGGGCGCAAGCCUGAUGGAGCGACGCCGCGUGGGGGAUGAAUGGCUUCGGCCCGUAAACCCCUGUCAUUCGCGAUCAAACCUUGCUAUUUAAAAGAUGGCGAGCUGAUAGUAGCGGAAGAGGAAGGGACGGCUAACUCUGUGCCAGCAGCCGCGGUAAUACAGAGGUCCCAAGCGUUGUUCGGAUUCACUGGGCGUAAAGGGUGCGUAGGUGGUGAGGUAAGUCGGAUGUGAAAUCUCGGAGCUCAACUCCGAAAUGGCAUUGGAAACUACCUUGCUUGAGGGUUGGAGGGGGGACUGGAAUUCUCGGUGUAGCA